rnacentral:lncRNA from 15 species
ACUGACUGUGUACUGACUGUUUACUGACUGUGUACUGACUGUAUACUGACUGUAUACUGACUGUACUGACUGUUUACUGACUGUGUACUGACUGUAUACUGAGUGUACUGACUGUGUACUGACUGUUUACUGACUGUACUGACUGUUUACUGACUGUGUACUGACUGUGUACUGACUGUUUACUGACUGUGUACUGACUGUGUACUGACUGUAUACUGACUGUACUGACUGUUUACUGACUGUGUACUGACUGUGUACUGACUGUAUACUGAGUGUACUGACUGUGUACUGAGUGUACUGACUGUGUACUGACUGUAUACUGACUGUGUACUGACUGUGUACUGACUGUGUACUGACUGUGUACUGACUGUUACUGACUGUGUACUGACUGUAUACUGACUGUGUACUGACUGUAUACUGACUGUACACUGACUGUACACUGACUGUGUACUGACUGUAUACUGAGUGUACUGACUGUGUACUGACUGUAUUCUUCUUCAGGCCUUCCGGUACCAGCGGGUGUUGCAGCCGAUGUUGGUUGCGUGCCGUCCUGUUGAUCCGGCGGAGCGGCGCCCCCCAGUGGAGAGGGAGGAGCAUGUCCUGCCUCUGUGGCUGCUGCGGAGUCUUCCUGUCAUCUACCCGACCAUCAAACACUAUAACAGCCUCUUUGACUCUGCUACCGAGGCCCCGCCCCCCUGCAGGUCAGGUGGGGCCCGUCAGAGUCACCUGACCUUCCUCCGCUGUGCCUCCCACACCUAUAGCUUCUCCCCCGGGACCAGAUACCCCCCACGCCUCCCCAAACACCUCGACUUCAAACGCAUUGGCUUCCUGCAGCUGCACCAGCCCCUCCCCCCUCGUAACCUGGACUCUUCCCCCCUCGCUGAUGGACAGGUGGACUCUUCCGGCUGCCCUCGAGCUCUCAGUCCUCCUCGAGUCGUCCUCCGCCGCCUCCUCUUGUCCAGGACCGACUCCCCCUCUGACAUCACCACCACUUCCUCUGUCUCCAUGACGACCAGAGAGCAAAUCAGACGCCACUGUCAGACCCUCGCCAGCCUGAGGAGAAGGAGGAGGAGGUGUUCUCCUAAAGGCCCUGCCCCCUCACAAGUUGAGGUGCAGGAUGAUGUCAUCAGGAUGAGCGAGGAGGAGGAAGAGGAGGAGGAAGAGAGCGAGGUCCUCCUGGCUCUGUCUGAAUCCUCACUCAGCUCAACAGAAGGCGUCGCCCUUGACAACGAUGCAGAGGAGGCGGAGUCAGAGGGUGGACAGGAAGUGACAGCAUCCAGAGGAUCAGCAGAAAAUGAAGAUGAUGAAGAUGGUGAUGGAGGUGCAGUCCUCCUGCAGAAGGUCUGUCAAUAAUAUUUCUGAUAUUUUAACACCAUUAAUGAUCUACAAACACAAUAAUCAUACAACUUCUUCUUGUACCUGUCGCACACUGGACCAAAGAAUCUGUGAUGUCACAAAUCCUGCUGCUAGGCCCCACCCUUAAAAUCUGAUUAUCAAUGAGCAAUCAAUCAAUAAGAAAAAAAGAACCAAACAAAUCAUUCAGGGAGAACACUGUAGGACCGUUUAUCAGCUGGUUCUCAGGAACGACAAUGUAGUCUGUCUUCACUGGGACAAUAAUGGGAAUAUAUGUUCAUUAAUAAACAAUAAUAAACUGUAAUAAACAAUAUUAAACUGUAAUACACAAUAUUAAACUGUAAUGAACAAUAAUUAACUGUAGUAAACAAUAAUAAACUGUAGUAAACAGUAAUAAACUGUAAUAAACAAUAUUAAACAGUAAUAAACAAUAAUAAACUGUAGUAAACAAUAAUAAACUGUAGUAAACUGUAAUAAACAAACAGUAAUAAACAUUAAUAAACAUUGAGAAACCACAAAAAACUGCAAUAAGCAUUAAUAAACAAACAAUAAUAAACAGUAAUAAACAAUAAUAGAAUGCCUUUAUUGUCACUAUGCACAUGUACGAUGAGAUUAAAAAGUCAACUGCAAUACCAGUGCAAAAACAGUGUAAAAAAUAUAAAAAAUAUAUACACUAUAAACAUAGGACAUAAAGUAAUAGUACAACAAAGGGAGGUAAGGCGCACAGUCCUGAGGAGUGUGUACAUUUGCAAAAUAAAUACGGUGCUAUAUACAGUGUUAAAAUAUAUAUAUAUUGCACAUUAUAUAUUUAUAUUGCCUAUUAAUAAACUGUAAUAAACAAUAUUAAACUGUAAUAAACAAUAUUAAACUGUAAUAACUGUAAUUAACAAUAUUAAACUGUAAUAAACAAUAUUAAACUGUAAAACAAUAUUAAACUGUAAUAAACAAUAAUAAACAGUAAUAAACAAUAAUAAACUGUAAUAUAAACAAUAACUAGAAAAUGCCUAAAGAAAUUUUGAGUGUGCCUUGCUCUGGCCCGUGACUGUGGCCCAUACAUUACUGACACUGCUGAGUAGUUUACAGUAUGUGACCUGUACCAUUGCUUAGGUAUGUGACAGAUCAAGCUUUCAACAUUCGCAUUUGCAUACUGUUGAGGUGACGUGCUACGGUAAGCGUACAGACUCAUUCCCGGUUUACUUCCUGCUCUGUGUACACUGUUUGGUGCUGUAGCUCUGUCAGUGAACGCUAAAUAUAAAUUUGUUUUACUCAUUACAGCGGUUAUUUACCCGCUUAACAUUUAAACGUAGACUAGUUCUACCUAAACACUCAGAGUUACUCCUUCUUUUAGCGACUUUUCACUACUUUCAAAAGUUUUUCAUACACGCUAGUUUCAUUAGCAUUAGCAGUUAGCUAUGGCUUCUCCCUCUCCCUCUCCUCUGUCCUGCUCAGUGUGUCAGAUGUUCAGUUAUUCCUCUGCCUCCUUUAAUGAUAAUGGUUCUUGUAUUAAGUGUAGUUUAUUUACUGCGCUGGAGGCGAGGCUUAGUGAGUUAGAGGAACGGCACCGCACCACGGAGAUAUCUUUAGCCGCUAUAGUUAGCCAGCCCCCAGUAGCCGGUGUGGUCCGACCGAAGGUAGCUUCUGUUAGCUCUGUAGAUCCUCCGGUAGUUCCCGCGGUAGUUCCCCCGGUAGUUCCCCCGGUAGAUCCCGAGCAGCCGGGAAGACAGGGAGAGUGGGUGACUGAGCGAAGGAAGACUAAAACACCGAAGCCCACAGGUCACCACCAACCCAUUCAUGUUUCUAAUACAUUUUCCCCACUCAGCGACACACCCGCUGAGGAACCAACUCUGGUUAUUGGCAGCUCCAUAGUCAGAAACGUGAAGUUAGCGAAGCCAGCGGCCAUAGUUAAAUGUAUCCCUGGGGCCAGAGCGGGCGACAUUGAAUCCUAUUUAAAACUGCUGGCUAAAGAUAAACGUAAAUACAGUAAGAUUGUUAUCCACGUCGGCGGUAAUGACACCCGUUUACGCCAAUCGGAGGUCACUAAGAUUAAUGUGGAGUCGGUGUGUAAUUAUGCUAAAACUAUGUCGGACUCCGUAGUUUUCUCUGGACCCCUGCCCAAUGUGACCAGUGAUGACAUGUAUAGCCGCAUGUCGUCAUUGCUGUCGAGGUGGUGUCCAGAAAACCAUGUG